GUUGAACAAUCAAAGCUCUUGUGAACUGGGGAGGGGCUUUGCGGAGGCGGUGGAAUUUUUGUUGUUGUUAGAAAUUCUGACAUUUGACAGUUUAACCCUUACGAUGCAAGAUGGGGCUAGAGGAUACUGAGUGCAGGAUUGCCUGCAUGGGAUGAUCUGAGUCAUGUCAUAUGAUUAUACACUAGAUGUUUAUGAAAGUUUAAACACGUCUCUGAAAAUAUAACAGAUGUAUAAAUGCUAUAAUUUUGGAAUAAUUAGCAGUAUGGUUGCUUUGAUAUAGUGUAGUGUUGAAAACAUAAUGUGCUUGGUAUUGGAAUAAUCAGAAAAUUCACAUGCUAUCCUGCCUGGAAUUCGGAGUGUAAGUAAUUAAUGCAAGAAAUUAUGAUGAUUUUAAAUAAUCAUUAUAUGGAAGAUAUUUAAAUUAUAGCAAACAAAAAUGUUCAGAAUGAAUCUGUUUUGUUUGUCACGUUGCCCCCGAUGGACAAAAUCCGGUAUUACAACUAAAAGACGAAUGGUUGUUACAAAGAUGCAUCUCCCUGACAACAUACAUUCCCAAAAUGAACCAAUGAGAAGGGACAAGCACCGUGGGCGUGAAUGAAAAAGAUCAUCAAUGAUUAUAUAAGGAAUAGCUAAAUGUAAGACAAAAAACAAUUUUUGGUGAUCUGCUUGUCACUAGUGAUUGAUAACUGGCAGCCAUUCUCUUGGGGACAAGGUCAUUUUAAGCAAGGAACCGAAAACUUACCUUGAUCUAUGCGAUAACUUUCCUUCAAAUGAGAUGAUCUAAAGAUAUUUGGAAAAGACAACUACGAAUUGGUUCAAAUUGGUGAGGUAUAAUUGUUCUAAUUUUUAAUAUUUGAAACAAAGGUUAUUGGUAAGACCAUGUUCAAAUUGUAGUUAAGAGAUUUAAAAGAGCAUUUUGUAUUUUAGCUUAUAUUCAGAGCCUGUGUAUUGUUAAACAUAUAUCCUUAAUGCUAAGUUGUUUUACUGUGCAAAUAUAGAGUUAUAACUCAGAGUUUGGUUAUUGGCACAAAUAAUAUAUACAAUUUCUGAUGUUUUAAAUUGGAAUUAUAUUAGAAUAAAUUGUGGUUAAAUAGCUGAGUGUAUUGCUUGAAUGUUAGCAGCUAAAUAUCUUGGAAUCUCAUUGUGUAAAUUGAAUGAAAUUCUAUUGUGAAUAAGGCUAGUUUUAAAGGUAAACUUUUAUGAACUUUGCAUAGCAUAUUUUAAUAGUUUUUAAACGUGUAUAGUAUUGAUUCAUAUUCUGAUUCCUACAAAUAUAUUUCAAUGUGUUUAUAGAUAUUAACAAAUAAAAAAGAAUUCAGGAAUUUAUAUUAAUUUUAUGGUUUCUAGAAUAUGCAUAUUUUAUUGGGGUUCAGUUUAAAGGAUAAUUAUUAAAUAUAUUGUGUUAUAACCCUGCCAUAUACUGACACUAUGUACUUGCAUAAUCAGUAUAUACCUGCUAUUUUAGAGAGAAAUUACUGAAGCACGUAGAUCACCAGUAUAUAUACUACCCAGGUAUAGCUCCUAUGGUUAUUACCUAGGAGUCCUCGGGUUAGUAGGGGUGCAAUCGGCUUUAUCUCUCCCUUUCUUUAUGCUGUUACUUUGAACUACUGUAUUACUCAUGCUUGUGGACCAGAGAUUUGAAGCUUAGAUCCCCAUAUGUUUCUGUCCUGGUGAUACCUCCUUUGAAUUUCUAGGGGGUCCAGGUCUCAGAAGGGGUGUAGCUGAUUACUUCUGAGUCUUUAUUUUGCUACAGUGUUAUGUACUAUCUCUCACCUUGAUGUUAUGAUUGUCAGUGACCAGUCACUUGAUUCCAUUAUAUGGAUUUCGGUCUUUAGCUUACAUGUGUUGUAAGCUUGAUGUAUAUUGAAAGUUAUGUAUUUUGUAUAUAUUCUAGUGGGCCUGCUACCAUUUUGGAGGUGUUAAAGUGCUUAACCACACAUAAUGUGUGCAAUGUAUCCUAUCUGACCCUUACGCUAAUAAAUAUUUUAAAAGAGUGCUGUAGUCCCUGUCUUGUUGUGAUACGCAUAAUAGCGUAUCUAUCUCUUUUAAACAAGUUUAAAUAGCAUUUUUCUUCACUCAGAAGAAAAUGUUAUUUUUUUAAACACACACAAACAAAUAUAGAUACAUAACUAUAUAUAUAUAUUUUAAAUAAAAAUAACAUUCUUCUGAGUGAAGAACAAUGCUAUUUAAACUAUUUCUUAAAGCACCUUUAGCUAUAGCACACUUGGCUUAUUGAACCUUUUGGAUAGUGCUCGAACAAAAGCAAGAACAUUGUUUUGCAGUAUGCCCCAUAGAAGUCUGUGGGGAUAGGCAGUUAGCUCGGCCACACUGUCCAACCCCCAAAUGUUAAUGAGUUUGAGGCUUUCGCUUGAGUGAUAACUUUUUACUUUCAACUUGUAAUUGGAGGGCAAAAAUAAGAGUGCUAUGGAUUUAAAGGGACAGUCUAGUCAAAAUUAAACUUUCAUGAUUCAGAUAGGGCAUGCAAUUUUAAACAACUUUCAAAUUUACUUUUAUCAUCAAAUUUGCUUUGUUCCCUUGGUGGUAUUUUUGAAAAGCUAAACCUAGCUAGGCUUAAACUGAUUUCUAAACAGUUGAAAACCGCCUCCUAGCUCAGAGCAUUUUGAAAGUUUUUCACAGUUAGACUGUGCUAGUUCACAUGUGUCAUAUAGAUAACAUUGUGCUCACUCCCGUGAAGUUAUUUAGGAGUCUUCACUGAUUGACUACACUGCAUGUCUGUCAAAGGCACUUAGAUAAGGAGGCUGUCUGCAAAUGAUUUAGAUACAAGGUAAUCACAGAGGUAAAAAGUAUAUUAAUAUAACUGUGUUGGUUACGCAAAAACAGGGAAUGGGCAAUAAAGGGAUUAUCUAUCUUUUUAAAUAAGAAAAAUUUUGGUGUAGACUGUCCCUUUAACUUGAGUGGUGCUAAUCUUUUUGCACUCCACUUGUAAUCUAUGCCGUAAUGUCUUUACUCCCAAUGUGACUUAAAUGAAAAAUAAAAUUCACGGAUUUGCAGAAAGUUGUUGAAUGUAUUAAGCUAGACUGUGUGAAUGAAGAUGAUUUGUCUGAUUAAUUUUGUUGUACUAAAGUCUUUCAAAUUGUAAAAUAAAGUAUUUAUUUUUCCAGUAA